rnacentral:rRNA from 1 species
CCUACGGGCGGCAGCAGUGAGGAAUCUUGGUCAAUGGGCGGAAGCCUGAACCAGCCAAGUAGCGUGCAGGAUGACGGCCCUACGGGUUGUAAACUGCUUUUAUACGGGAAUAACGCGCCUUGAGUGUAUGUCUUUGCAUGGACCGUAUGUAUAAGGAACGGCUAAUUCCGUGCCAGCAGCCGCGGUAAUACGGAAGGUCCGGGCGUUAUCCGGAUUUAUUGGGUGUAAAGGGCGCGUAGGCCGCAUGUCAAGCGUGCUGUGAAAUGUCCGGGCUCAACCCGGGCCUUGCAGCGCGAACUGGCGUGCUUGAGUCCGCGGAAAGCAGGCGGAAUUCGUCGUGUAGCGGUGAAAUGCUUAGAUAUGACGAAGAACCCCGAUUGCGAAGGCAGCUUGCUGCAGCGGAACUGACGCUGAUGCUCGAAAGCGCGGGUAUCGAACAGGAUUAGAUACCCCAGUAGUC